CCUACGGGUGGCAGCAGUGAGGAAUAUUGGUCAAUGGACGAGAGUCUGAACCAGCCAAGUAGCGUGAAGGAUGACUGCCCUAUGGGUUGUAAACUUCUUUUAUAUGGGAAUAAAAUGUUCCACGUGUGGGAUUUUGUAUGUACCAUAUGAAUAAGGAUCGGCUAACUCCGUGCCAGCAGCCGCGGUAAUACGGAGGAUCCGAGCGUUAUCCGGAUUUAUUGGGUUUAAAGGGAGCGUAGGUGGAUUGUUAAGUCAGUUGUGAAAGUUUGCGGCUCAACCGUAAAAUUGCAGUUGAAACGGGCAGUCUUGAGUACAGUAGAGGUGGGCAGAAUUCGUGGUGUAGCGGUGAAAUGCUUAGAUAUCACGAAGAACUCCGAUUGCGAAGGCAGUUCACUGGACUGCAACUGACACUGAGGCUCGAAAGUGUGGGUAUCAAACAGGAUUAGAUACCCUUGUAGUC
rnacentral:rRNA from 1 species